rfam:Equus caballus chromosome 12, whole genome shotgun sequence.
GGGGGCUCGGGGGGCCCCUGGAGGCCUCUGUACCCCACUUGAGAAAGGGUGGCAGUGGGGCAGCAGGCCUGGGGCCCCCAGGGCUCCA